UCAUGGCCCUUACGAGUAGGGCUACACACGUGCUACAAUGGCGUAUACAGAGGGAAGCGAGAGUGCGAGCUGGAGCGAAUCUCACAAAGUACGUCUAAGUCCGGAUUGGAGUCUGCAACUCGACUCCAUGAAGUCGGAAUCGCUAGUAAUCGCAAAUCAGAAUGUUGCGGUGAAUACGUUCCCGGGCCUUGUACACACCGCCCGUCACACCAUGGGAGUGGGUUGUACCAGAAGUAGAUAGCUUAACCUUCGGGGGGGCGUUUACCACGGUAUGAUUCAUGACUGGGUGAAGUCGUAACAAGGUAACCGUAGGGAA
rnacentral:rRNA from 1 species